UUUAUUAUAAAAACAAAUAUUAUUAUUUAUAUAUAUAUUUUUACAGGUUAGAAUUUCGUUUAUACUUUUAUGGUAUUAGUUUUCAUCUUAGAACUAAGUAAAAACAUUUGAAAUGAUAUUUAUUGACAAGAAUAGCUAUAUAGUAGCCAAAAAUCAGUCUGACCAGUGGAUGCCGAUCAAAAGUGAUGACUUGAGAUGAAUCAUAAAACGUUAACAGCGAAAUAUUUGUCACAAUCGUAGAGGAUAAUUACAUAAGCGGACCAUUUUAAACAAGACACUCUAUAUAACUGAUCAUACUAUAAGCAAAUGAUGCAAGAUGUUACCAGUCGCGCAGUCAGCGCCCGAUUAAACCUCGCUGCGUCGCGGGAACGGUUGCGCAUUGAACGUGUGCGCAU